UACGGAGGAUGCGAGCGUUAUCCGGAUUUAUUGGGUUUAAAGGGUGCGUAGGCGGGCUUUUAAGUCAGCGGUAAAAAUUCGGGGCUCAACCCCGUCCGGCCGUUGAAACUGGGGGCCUUGAGUGGGCGAGAAGAAGGCGGAAUGCGUGGUGUAGCGGUGAAAUGUAUAGAUAUCACGCAGAACCCCGAUUGCGAAGGCAGCCUUCCGGCGCCCUACUGACGCUGAGGCACGAAAGUGCGGGGAUCGAACAGG
rnacentral:rRNA from 1 species